rnacentral:rRNA from 1 species
UACGUAGGGUGCAAGCGUUAAUCGGAAUUACUGGGCGUAAAGCGUGCGCAGGCGGUUUUGUAAGUCUGACGUGAAAUCCCCGGGCUCAACCUGGGAAUUGCGUUGGAGACUGCAAGGCUGGAGUCUGGCAGAGGGGGGUAGAAUUCCACGUGUAGCAGUGAAAUGCGUAGAGAUGUGGAGGAAUACCGAUGGCGAAGGCAGCCCCCUGGGCUAACACUGACGCUCAUGCACGAAAGCGUGGGGAGCAAACAGG